rnacentral:siRNA from 1 species
UGCGUAUAGUACAUGUUGUGCCUA